ACAGACGGCCUGAGGACCAGCCAGGCUCAGAAACUCCUGACCCAGUGCAGCUGCUCCUGGGACUAACAGAGGAAAAGCUCAAGAGGGUUUAGCAGGAGUGGCCAUGGGGGUAUCAGGGCUCAAAUCUGGCUGCCUCCAGCUCGCGGAAAACAGUGUCUACUGUCUGGGGAGCCUGUUCCUGGUGAGGACAGGAGGAUAAUGGGAUGCGCUGUUCCAUUGCCAACAGUGUUUUUCUUCGAAAAGGGGAAAGGACAUGGUACUGAUUGAGAACUUCUGGGAACCUCGGGGCAGGUGAGCAGAGUGGGAGGAGCUUGCUGGCAGCGGCGCCUGUUUCCCACCCGGCCGGCUGGGCAGGCCGCAGACCUGGCGCUCAGUGCGGCUCCCGCUCCCACGGGAUGUAUUCAUCCUGCGCACGCGAAGGAGGCGGCUCAGAGGCAGAAGCUGCAUCGCCUUCGCAGCCGCGCGUGCAUGAGAUUCAGGGUCCGGCCCCCGCAGAAUUACACCGGCUGUGAACCCGGCUCAUCGUGAGCUUCUGAGGCAACACUUGUGUUUAGUAUUUUCCAUGAUAUGAUGUCUGCAAAUACAUUCUCAUGAGAGGGAGCCUCGGACUCUCCCGUCCCCAUGUCGAGCAGGAAGGAACCAGAAUUAAGAGGAGGGUGUCCAAGGCGGCAGCUCACCUUGUUUUCCAGCUUCUCAGAAACGCUGAGAAAAAAACGAACAUCUCUUUGCAGCGGAUGGAAGAUUGUAUAGUCUUGCUGUCCCAAAUUCUUUGGCUAAACCACCAGAUUUUAAAUAUCUGCUAGCAAAAUAUAUU
rnacentral:lncRNA from 1 species